rnacentral:rRNA from 1 species
ACAUGCAAGUCGAACGAUCUCUUCGGAGAUAGUGGCAGACGGGUGAGUAACGCGUGGGAACCUACCUUUAGGUACGGAACAACAGUUGGAAACGACUGCUAAUACCGUAUGUCCCCUAUGGGGGAAAGAUUUAUCGCCUAAGGAUGGGCCCGCGUUGGAUUAGCUAGUUGGUGGGGUAAUGGCCUACCAAGGCGACGAUCCAUAGCUGGUCUGAGAGGAUGAUCAGCCACACUGGGACUGAGACACGGCCCAGACUCCUACGGGAGGCAGCAGUGGGGAAUAUUGGACAAUGGGGGCAACCCUGAUCCAGCCAUGCCGCGUGAGUGAUGAAGGCCCUAGGGUUGUAAAGCUCUUUCAGCGAGGAGGAUAAUGACGUUACUCGCAGAAGAAGCCCCGGCUAACUUCGUGCCAGCAGCCGCGGUAAUACGAAGGGGGCUAGCGUUGUUCGGAAUCACUGGGCGUAAAGCGCACGUAGGCGGACUUUUAAGUCAGGGGUGAAAUCCCGGGGCUCAACCCCGGAACUGCCUUUGAUACUGGAAGUCUUGAGUCCGAGAGAGGUGAGUGGAACUCCGAGUGUAGAGGUGAAAUUCGUAGAUAUUCGGAAGAACACCAGUGGCGAAGGCGGCUCACUGGCUCGGUACU